rnacentral:rRNA from 1 species
AACGAACGCUGGCGGUAUGCUUAACACAUGCAAGUCGAACGAACAAAAUUGGGGCUUGCUCCAAUUUUAGUGAGUGGCAAACGGGUGAGUAACACGUGGGAAUCUACCUAUCAGUACGGAAUAACAUUUGGAAACAGAUGCUAAUACCGUAUAUUCUCCAAGGAGGAAAGAUUUAUCGCUGAUAGAUGAGCCCGCGCAAGAUUAGGUAGUUGGUAGGGUAAUGGCCUACCAAGCCGACGAUCUUUAGCUGGUCUGAGAGGAUGAUCAACCACACUGGGACUGAGACACGGCCCAGACUCCUACGGGAGGCAGCAGUGGGGAAUAUUGGACAAUGGGCGAAAGCCUGAUCCAGCAAUACCGCGUGAAUGAUGAAGGCCUUAGGGUUGUAAAGUUCUUUUAGUUGGAAAGAUAAUGACGGUACCAACAGAAAAAGCCCCGGCUAACUCCGUGCCAGCCGCCGCAGUAA